UAGCUGUCAUAAAAGGUUUAUCCUUACUAUAAACUUUAACCGUUUUUUCCGGAAAAUAUUCAGAAAUCAUAUUCUCAGUGACCUGAAGAAAGUUCCUUUCUCCGUAAUAUGAGACUUGGACUUCCAGCUGAUGAUAUUAUGAUCCGACGUUGACAGUGGGGCUAGGAUUUCCGGAGUUUCGUAACAGUCAGCCAUGUCAGUGAAUAUUAAAUCAAGGAUGUUUCUGUUUCUGAUACAUUUAGGUUUGGUGGAAGGUAUGCGCAUCCUACUGCAAUCCUUGAAAUUGAUCUUGGUAACCACUUUGGGCGGAUAGUAAUCCAUAAGCAUUCAAACAGUUGAUCGUUUAAA